UUUUGCCGGGGUUUCCCUUUCGUUCCGCCGCGGGCGUUCACUCGUCUCGGGUCCUCGUCCCUUUUCCCGGCCGCUUUACCGGCGCCCGCGUCUCCUCCUCUCCUGGCGCCCCUUUAAGUUCUCCAGCGGGCACGCCUGAUUCCGGAAGUCCUGCCCGGUCGCCCAGCGCCCCCUAUGCUCCCGCGCUAUGCCGGGCCUGUGCAGGCCCUCCCUUGGGUCGUCAGCGAACCCGGGAUGAAUGGACCUGCUUCGCGUUAAGGGCGUUAAGGACUGGCUGGUCCAGCGAAGCUUAUAGACUCCCACUUAUUUUUCAGGCUCCCUCUAUACGUGGGAAGAGUGGAGGGAGAAGAAAGCCAGGUUGGGGAAUUUUGAAAGAGAAGGGGAGAGGAAGGUACCAAAAGCUGUUACUUCUUGAACAUCUUUUCUGCGUUAUUGAACGCAGAAAGUAUUUGUCUUUUUUUUUUUUUUUAAUUUUUUUUAACGAAUACUCAACAUAUGCCCUGCAUGUGAUACGAUUUUUAUAAAGCUUAGCAGGCUUAGAAUUCUGUGCCAAUAGCUAUCGUACGGAGCCAACAGGACUCUCUUCGGAAGACAGCUGGAAAGGAAUGCCAUUUUCCACUAGGAUUGGGAUCGUUUUGUCAAAAAGGAGGAACAGAAGGACACCAUUUGGAAACAUUGGUUAUAUUACUUUGACUGGAAGGUCCUAUUUGAGAGGCACAUGCAUAGACUCAGCUAUCACCAGACAGCUUUAAGGAAUUAAGGUUGACUUUAUGGAGCCAACAGAGCCUGACAUCUUGGAAAUGUUAGCCUGAUACCUUGCUUACAGAGUUCCUAGCAGCCUUACCAGGUCCCGGGUCAAUUGGUCCUCAAAUUGCUUUCUUAGUCUGGCUCUAUUUUGCAAACGAAUGAACUCCAUUGCCAGUUGGUAUAUUGCCAGUGUAGGACAGCAGAGAGAAACUGAAGGCUGAGAGGAAGUGGGUAGACAUGCUCUGCUCCAUCUCCUUGAUGGCGGCGCCUUGAUUGGCAGCAGUUGCGUUUCUUAAUGGCACUCCAGCUCCGGAAAGGUGACAUGGCCCCUGUGCUCUGACCGUGCUGCCUCUGCCUUUUGUCCCUUCAGGCUGAGAUGGGGGAACUAGUGGGUGGCCAUGGUUGCUAGCCUCUGGAUGGCGUGGCUGUCCUGUUGGGCUUCUCAGUUUUUCAUCUCCUGUGUAACCGUUCCCCCUCAAUAAAGUCCUGCUGUUUUAAAAAUUCA